AGCAUGUGGUUUAAUUCGACGCAACGCGAAAACCUUACCUGGGCUUGACAUGGAGAGAAUCUUCUGGAAACAGAAGAGUGCCUCGUAAGAGGAGCUCUCACACAGGUGCUGCAUGGCUGUCGUCAGCUCGUGCCGUGAGGUGUUGGGUUAAGUCCGCAACGAGCGCAACCCCUGUGGUUAGUUGCCAGCAAGUAGCGUUGGGCACUCUAGCCAGACUGCCGGUGAUAAAUCGGAGGAAGGUGGGGACGACGUCAAAUCAUCAUGCCCUUUAUGUCCUGGGCUACACACGUACUACAAUGGCCGUUACAACGGGAAGCGAAGGAGCAAUCCGGAGCAAAUCCCUUAAAGGCGGUCCCAGUUCAGAUUGUGGGCUGAAACUCGCCCACAUGAAGGCGGAAUUGCUAGUAAUUGCAGAUCAGCAUGCUGCAGUGAAUACGUUCCCGGGCCUU
rnacentral:rRNA from 1 species